GCCUCCUUAGCUCAGUUGGUAGAGCGGCUCACUCGUAAUGAGCAGGUCGUCGGUUCAAGUCCGAUGGGAGGCUCCG
rnacentral:tRNA from 1 species